rnacentral:tRNA from 1 species
GUUUUAAUAGCUUAUUUAGAGCAUAAUAUUGAAGAUAUUAAGGAGAGUUAUCUUAAAAUA